GUACAGUUUCUUAAAUUGUAUGGCAAUUGUGCAUAAUAAAAUCUUGGGGGAAACCCAAGGAGUGUUCACAACGACACUUGGGGGUAGUGUUCACAGUUGUCCCCGUGUCCACACAAGGCGAAGCAGCUGGGGUAGGUGAGCACCCGGCGGGCUCCGGGCGGAGGCGUCCUCGGCGGCAGAAACCCAGGAACGCAUCCCCACCUCGAAACUGAGAUGGGAAAGGAGAAACUAGAAUCUUUAAUAUCAGGUGGGAUGAGGCGUCCUGUCUCCACAGAAGCCGCUCCUCUCCAGAGAAAGACGAACAGAUGAGAAUAUUCCUCUGGGCUGAAGCAGCACCAUGCCCGGGAGGAAAGCUCUAACCAGCCCCUUGUGAUCUGGCUGCCGCCAGGGCCAGCUGUGAGGACAGGGGGUCUCCGCCGCAGGGAAAGGAAGCGGGGUCUCUAGUCCCAGGUGGAGGUGGAGGUGGAUGCAGUGGGCUCCCUCCCUGGUGACUGCACGGCCGUCUCUUCCCUUGCUUCUACUUCGUGCCCUGGCCUCAGGCUCAGCGAAGCGGCACAGAGAGGUGGAGUGACUUCCUGAUGAGAGUGCAUCUUCAUUGCUGGAAAGCCUGAAUGAGGCACAAUUCUUCUCCAGGUGUUUUUCUAUUUAACUCAAAUCUCGUCAAAAUCCUCUAAGAAGGAAAGUUCACUGAUGUAAGAGAUGAUGCAAUGUGCAUGGAUUACUGAAUUCUAAGUACUGUGAAAGGCACUUUCACUUAAUUAUCUCAAGUUCUCCCAACACCAUGAAGUAGGUACUACUUUGCCUACUUUAUAGAUUUAAAAAAUGGAAGCACAGAGAAGUUAGCUUAUUUAUUCAAGGUCACACAGCUGGUAAAGUGCUGGUUUAUACCCAACAGCCUGAAUCUGGAGCCAGCUCUCUUAUGAGUGGGCGUUACUGCAUUCCAAGGAAGCAAUGACUGUGCAAAGUGAUGAGCACCUUAAUAGCAGAAGUCCGAGGAUGCUGGAGCUCAGAAGAGUCCCUAAUUCAGGCUGGAGAGUCAAACAGGGCUGCUUCUUAGAGGAGGCAUCAUCCAGGCAGGACUUUAAAAGAGCAGAGCCUGCCACACAGUGCGUGCCCAGUAAACGUUUGAUGGAGGAGCUGUGAAGCCAGCACAGAGGGAAGAACUGGGGUGAGGCAGGACCAGCAUAAGAGCGUGUCUCUGCCGGGGUUCCAGGCUGGCUCUUCACCAUUCUCCUGCCUCCAGUCCAGGGACGCCUCUCCCUUUCGACUUAGGGUGUCAAGUUGACAAUCAAACUGGAACCAGGCGAAACCUUCUAUUCCGACAGGCCAGACAGUUCUGAGAAGCUGGGCAGACGCAAAGGUGAACUGGUAUCAGGCAAGGAGCCCACUGCAAGGCUGUUCCCAAGGAUCAUUCGGGACCACGCAAGGGCCAGAGGGACAGUGGUUUUCCAAAACUUUUGCUCAUAUUCCUUGCAGAAUACAUUUUUAGGUUGACACCUAAAAUUUUUAAAUCAUACGUUUAAGUAGUUUCAAAGGAUAUAUUUUCUAGUGUUUUUUACAUUGUGAACACACCUUAAAUGUAUUUUUUUUUGUUGUUGUUGAAAACAGAUUUAGUUCAUGGAAAGUGAUCUCUGUAUAACCUAGGUGGCAAAGCCAGUCCUAUCAGACAAAUCAUACUUUCUGUCAGGAAAAGCUGGACUUCAUAUUUCAGUUCAAAUAAUGGUGUUAAAAUAUAUCCUGG
rnacentral:lncRNA from 1 species